UGAAUUUCGGGAUCAAGGGGCUGGUCGUGCCUUGGUAUGUACUCGUCACAGCGCUCGACACUUCCUGAUGAACUGUAAUGCCAUUAAUUUGGUGUUGCAGGGAAUCUGGACUGUUACUUUGAAAAAAUUAGAGUGUUUAAAGCAGGCUAACGCUUGAAUACAUUAGCAUGGAAUAAUGAAAUAGGACGUUCGGUCUUAUUUUGUUGGUUUCUAAGAUUGACGUAAUGAUUAAUAGGGAUAGUUGGGGGCAUUAGUAUUCAAUUGUCAGAGGUGAAAUUCUUGGAUUUAUUGAAGACUAACUACUGCGAAAGCAUUUGCCAAGGAUGUUUUCAUUAAUCAAGAACGAAAGUUAGGGGAUCGAAGACGAUCAGAUACC
rnacentral:rRNA from 1 species